CGAGUGGUGGUCCUAUAAUUUCGGGAUGGAAAUCCUCUGAUUUCAUCCGGUGAAGUCAGGGAGGAACAUAAUCUGAGUUCUACCCGUCCAUUAGCGAUCCAAUCGAUCGUUCCGACGGGCUAACGAACCGAACCGCGAUCACAGCAAACAUAAUUCACAGCAGCAGCGGCGAGCCCAUCCAUACCCGGCGGCGACAUCCACGCGGCGGCACGACAGGCAGACGGAGGCGGCCCGCGUUCGUGCCGUGUGCGCCUCCCCUCGCCCCUCCCCUUUUCCGCUCCCCGCGCACGCGAAGGCGAAUUGGGGGUGAGGUGGGCUCGUGUUCGGUUUUGGGAGGUCAAAUUCCAAUUCAUGGCGGUGCGGCCGGGGUGGGUGGUGGCGGUGGCGUGGGGGUCGGCAGAGCUGUGGCAGCGCGUGGCGUGCAACCCGGAGACGCUCCCGCCCGACCGCGUCUUCGCGCUGCUCUGCUGCGCGCCGCUCCACCUCCUCGUGCGCCUCGCCGCCUUCCUGUGCGUCCCCUUCCUCCCCCACGCCCGCGCCCCCCUCCGCCUCGCCUCCCCUCUCCGCGGCGGCCGCCAAUUCCUUGUCCUCCGUCCCCCGGAGCUAGUGCCGCAUCCUUUCACUUACUCCUCCAACUCCUCCUCAUCGUCGUCUUCGUCGGAUGAGGAUGACGACGGGGACGACAUCCACGACCACGUCGAUUGAGGUAAAACAAAAGGAGAGAUGCCAUUCACACUAUAAAACAAGGAAAUCUAGAAGUUAGGUGCCCAUGUAGAGUUGAAUUCAUGCUUUUUUGCUAGUAGGUUUCCAAUCGAACCCACUAGCAAUUUGUAAUGGCUGAAGGUUGCUUAGGAAGAAGGCUCUGAAAGGACGGAUAAUUUAGGCCUUCAGGUGCAAAGAUUGAACAAUCAUAUGUGGUACCAGACGUUAAACCGCUUGCCCUUCUAUCUUGCAGUGUUCAGGACUUUAACAUCCUGAGGAUGCUCAUUGUUCAUAAGUCAAUGGAUCGGAGGAUCUACAAAAGGGCUACCUGAGGGAUGAAACUGGUUGACAGUCAUUAUUUGUUGUUGCAUCGUAUUAAGCGAACUCAUCAGCAAGGAGUGGUGCUGAAUCUGAAUGUGUCACAUAUGUACUUGAAAGUUGAAAUACAAUUCCAAAUUUGAAUUGAAGACGGUUGUGUUCCUGUUU